rnacentral:rRNA from 1 species
GACGAACGCUGGCGGCGUGCCUAACACAUGCAAGUCGAACGGAAAGGCCCUGUUUUUGUGCGGUGCUCGAGUGGCGAACGGGUGAGUAACACGUGAGUAACCUGUCCCUGACUUUGGGAUAACUUCAGGAAACUGGGUCUCUUACCGCAUAGGAGCUCUUGCCGCAUGGUGGGGGUUGGUAAGUUUCGGCGGUUGGGGAUGGACUCGCGGCUUAUCGGCUUGUUGGUGGGGUGGUGGCUUACCAAGGCCUUGACGGGUGGCCGGCCGGGGAGGGAGACCGGCCACAUUGGGUGGGAGAGACAGCCGAGACAGAUACGGGAGGCAGGAGGGAGGAAGAAAGCACAAAGGGCGGGAGACUGAUGGAGCAACGCCGCGUGCGGGAGUACGGCCGUCGGGAUGUAAGCAGCUUUCGCCUGUGACGGAGGGUAAGGACCGUAAAGGGGUAAAAAGGCACGGCUAACUUCGGG